ACAUAAUCUAAAUUCUGGUAGUCGAAAAUCAGCUUUUUUCGUGCAUCUGAGAGUGUUGGUUGUAAUAAGUGGAAAAUGUCUGAAAUUCGGAGCGGCUGAAGUCGUCGAUAAAACUGGGAGUUUUUGCGUAAACUUUUCCUGGAUCGGGACCGACUCUGAGCCUGGAUUUGGGAAUGUGGCGGUAAAGAAGGUGUUCGAAUGAGGACUGCGAUAUCGUGCCGGUUUUCUAUGCCUGGAAGAGGUCCGCGCGCUUGCGCCUACGCUGAAUUUGUUAACGUUUUUUUGUGUGUAAAGCCUUUUUUGAUGAUGGUUUGGGAGAGGAAAUGUUUUGAUUGGUUAAUUAAAACGCUGGAAAAUAGUUUUUAUAUGCGUCCGAUGAACGGACGUUGAAAAUACAAGGUUAUUAUAAUCGUUUGUAUUGUUUAUACGGUACUUGCGAGAGAGUCGAAGGAGCCUAUAGAUUCAAUAAGAGCUUUUGUAUAUGUUGGCUGUCUUAUUACGAUCUCAAUUGUAUUGCUCAUUGUGUCUUAUUUAAUAUUCUGUAAAUGCGAUUUUAAGAGUUGGUUUCCCGGUUUUGGUUUCUUUUUGUUAGUAGUUUGUUUGCUGAUACUGAUUGUUAUCACAUUAACUGACGAUGAAUUAAGUCUACCUCACUUGGUGCCAUUUAUAGUUGUAUUUUGUCUAUUUUUGCUUUACACAGAAUGUAUAUCAAGGCAUUAUUCAAAUUGUAUAGAAAAAUCAAGAAUAGAACGAGAAAGGUAUCUAAGCCUUGCAAUUCCUACUGCUUUAAGAGGAAAAUGUGAACGAGUCCCAUUAAAAAGUCCAAGCACUGAGAGUAGAACCUCUAAAAAUUCUACCAGAGGGUUGAGAAGCAACGACAAUAGAGGAAGAAAUUAAACACGUCACGUUAUGUUAACAAAAUAGAUUAAUAAACAAUUUCUAUUCUC
rnacentral:misc_RNA from 1 species